CAGUCAUGUUUAAAGCUGUCCCCCUUUUGUGGAUAAAACAGGAAAACAAACGGAUUGUGAAUCAACAAUGACAACACCUAGCAAUCAGCAAGCUCAGGUUUUACAACUCUGGAGUUUGAAACAACAGGAUUAUUAUCACUGCAAUAGCAUAUUUAGUGUCUGAAUACAGAGAGAUUUUGAAGAGCUUCAAACUGAAGUGAGAAAAUUGUGCAGUUCGAAGAGGAGUAUUAUACUGUGCCAAAGUAUACCUUAGCAGCUGCUGUUUCAGUCUAGGAUUAUACAGACAGGAUGUUCCUGUAGAAAGAAGAUAAAGAGGCUCAAGAACACCUAACAUUGGUAUGACUGUGCCACUGGGGAUAAGUUUGACAUGGUGAAGAACAUCAAGCCAAGCUCUUGCCACUGGAUAAUCAUUCCAGUGAUUGUAUCAUGAAUCCGAAACAAGGAAUAGAAGUGGGUGUACAACCUGACAGCGCUCUCAGUAGUCACAAAAACUGAAGAGACAGAAGGAAACAGGAAGGGAGGAAAGAAAUGGAGAAUGGAGGACAAAGAUGGAUGAGAAUCCCCAGAAGACCAUAAAAUGCUGCUUUCAGAAUAUCUCUAACAUGAUUAUGAAAUGAAUGGGUGAGACAUGGAUUUUUCAUGGGAUAUGUUUAAGAGAGUAUGUACUUAGAAGAAGAAACCCCAGAAAUAUAAACAUCUGUGGUUUUGUUUCUGCAUAAUCAUGGACUACAAAAUAUGCAAGCAAUAUUUUGGAAAAGGAAAACUAGCAAAUGAGCCACAACCCAAAAACCAUUAGCAACAUAGACUUCAUUCUAUAUUUAUUCAUGGUUCUGAAAUAAGAACAGAUGCAGUAUAAUAAUGCUCCUAGGAGCCCUUAGUUACAGGGUUUAUUCUGUACCUGAUGUUUGCACAUAACUGAUGAAUUUAGUACAAUUCUACGCCUGCUUUUCUAGGCUCACUGAAUUUAAAUGCAAAUAAAGAGAAAAGUUAUUUUAUUUCCAUGGUAAUUAAAAAGUAUUAGUGUUAAAUACAAAGAGUGAACUUGAUGUACCAUGCAACAGUCCAACUUUACCAAGCCACCUGAUUAUUCAACCCAAUUACAGUCUCCAGGCAGCCUGUACAUGUCAUUUAGAAUAGCAUCCCUAAUGUCUUCAUAGUACUAGACCAUGUGAGGAGGAAAUUCAGUUGGUGGUUGCUUGUACGUAAAUGGAAUUUUCAGAACUCAUAAUUCAUAACAUCCCGAAUUUAGGAAGGUGAUCUACCCUCCCUGAAGAUCAUAAGCAUCAUGAUGUACUUACCAUGCCCCAAACAAAUGGAAGAUAGCAAUAAUGCUGUAGUUCUGGCGAAUCAAUUAGAAAUGCCAUGUUGCUGUAGGGCACCUUUCACCACAAUCUGCACAGCUUAGAAAGCAGUUCAAUUAGACAGAUAACACUGUCCAAAAAUAAAAUUUUCCA